rnacentral:rRNA from 1 species
AUGGAGCCGCGGGUUGGGAACAAGUUUCGGCUCGGCCGCAAGAUCGGCAGCGGCUCCUUCGGGGAGAUCUAUCUCGGGACAAAUAUCCAGACCAACGAGGAGGUGGCGAUUAAGCUGGAAAAUGUGAAGACAAAACAUCCUCAGCUGCUCUACGAAUCAAAGAUUUACAGGAUUUUGCAAGGAGGAACUGGAAUCCCAAAUGUCAGGUGGUUUGGUGUAGAAGGAGACUACAAUGUCUUAGUCAUGGAUUUGCUGGGGCCAAGUCUGGAGGAUCUAUUUAAUUUUUGCAGCAGAAAAUUAUCUCUCAAGACUGUACUUAUGCUUGCCGAUCAGAUGAUAAAUCGAGUGGAAUUCGUCCAUUCCAAGUCAUUUCUGCAUCGAGACAUUAAGCCAGAUAAUUUUCUCAUGGGUCUUGGUAGGCGGGCUAAUCAGGUCUAUGUUAUAGAUUUUGGUCUUGCCAAAAAGUACAGGGAUACCUCAACUCAUCAACACAUCCCAUACAGAGAGAACAAAAACUUGACUGGGACAGCAAGAUAUGCAAGUGUGAACACUCAUCUUGGCAUUGAACAAAGUCGAAGAGAUGACUUGGAAUCUCUUGGAUAUGUUCUUAUGUACUUCCUACGGGGAAGCCUUCCUUGGCAAGGUCUGAAAGCAGGAACGAAGAAGCAGAAGUAUGAGAAAAUCAGUGAGAAAAAAGUUGCAACAUCAAUUGAGGCUCUGUGUCGUGGGUAUCCUACUGAGUUCACAUCAUAUUUCCAUUAUUGCCGCUCGCUUCGGUUUGAUGACAAGCCUGAUUAUUCCUACCUUAAGCGACUGUUCCGUGACCUCUUUAUCCGUGAAGGUUUUCAGUUUGACUAUGUAUUUGACUGGACAAUACUGAAGUACCAGCAAUCUCAAAUUGCUAGUGCCCCGCCUCGUGUUGCGGGCCAUGGUGCAGGACCUUCUGGGUUGACACCACCUGUAUUGCAGAAUGAUAGUCAAUCUGGUGCCGUUGAAGGGAGGAUUAGUGGUUGGUCAGCAAUGGACCGACGUCGUGCCCCACCACCCAUUGCAAGCGUGGGGACUUCAAAUAAGCAGAAAGCCCCUGUAGGAAAUGAUGCUCCUAUUUCUAAAGACCCUGCGAUAUCUGGCUUGAAUUUUUUGGGGCGGUCAAGUGGAUCGUCAAGGAGAGCUGCUGUUUCAAGUAGCCGGGAUGCUGUGGCAAGCGACACUUUUGAGCCUUCACGAUCACGCACGACUGAUGCAAGCCCUGGUGCAUUCCGUAGAACCUCAGGUGCUCAGAGAAGCCCACCGGUUGAUUCUGCAGAACCACAGCGUUCCUCUUCGGCCCGGCACUCAUCUAACCCGAAGAACUACGAGUCUGCCCUCAAAGCAUUUCCUGUUGAGUUUUGGAUCACAGGAGAUGCUACGAGGAGGAUGUGA